AUUGAACGCUGGCGGCAGGCCUAACACAUGCAAGUCGAGCGGUUGACGGGAGCUUGCUCCCUGAUUCAGCGGCGGACGGGUGAGUAAUGCCUAGGAAUCUGCCUAUUAGUGGGGGACAACGUUUCGAAAGGAACGCUAAUACCGCAUACGUCCUACGGGAGAAAGCAGGGGACCUUUGGGCCUUGCGCUAAUAGAUGAGCCUAGGUCGGAUUAGCUUGUUGGUGAGGUAAUGGCUCACCAAGGCGACGAUCCGUAACUGGUCUGAGAGGAUGAUCAGUCACACUGGAACUGAGACACGGUCCAGACUCCUACGGGAGGCAGCAGUGGGGAAUAUUGGACAAUGGGCGAAAGCCUGAUCCAGCCAUGCCGCGUGUGUGAAGAAGGUCUUCGGAUUGUAAAGCACUUUAAGUUGGGAGGAAGGGUUGUAGAUUAAUACUCUGCAAUUUUGACGUUACCGACAGAAUAAGCACCGGCUAACUCUGUGCCAGCCGCCGCCGUAA
rnacentral:rRNA from 1 species